rnacentral:misc_RNA from 1 species
GAAAUGCGAUAAUUAAUGUGAAUUGCAGAAUUCAGUGAAUCAUCGAGUCUUUGAACGCACAUUGCGCCCCCUGGUCUUCCGGGGGGCAUGCCUGUCCGAGCGUCAUUGCUGCCCUCAAGCACGGCUUGUGUGUUGGGCUUCCGUCCCUGGCAACGGGGACGGGCCCAAAAGGCAGUGGCGGCACCAUGUCUGGUCCUCGAGCGUAUGGGGCUUUGUCACCCGCUCCCGUAGGUCCAGCUGGCAGCUAGCCUCGCAACCAAUCUUUUUAACCAGGUUGACCUCGGAUCAGGUAGGGAUACCCGCUGAACUUAAGC